rnacentral:lncRNA from 1 species
GGGCUAAAUUAACUACUAAAAAUUGUUGGAAGAAAUAAUUGGUUGAGAACCUAUCUAUAGAUGCAUAUGGAUUAAUCGAGCCAUCUUCGGACCUGUAUGCAGUCUGUAUGAAUUUUAGUACCCACUAAGAGAUUAAAGUAAUUCUUCGAAUUAGAGGUAGAGGCUACCAAUUCGUAUAAAAUAGUGGGAGAACCUUUAGACUAAAGUUCAAGCCUUUAAGCUUAAUCAAUUCAUAAACAUAGAGGUCUU